CCUUUCUCCAAACCUUAUGAUAUUGACAGUUGUUUCCUUUUUUGGAAGGUGCUGGCUGACCUUGGCUGCCGUGGCUGAACUUUGGGCAUGACAGACCUACACCAAAGACUGGAUUCAGGGGAAUAUCCAUUGUUUUGUUCAUCAGCAGGCACAGGAGCAAGAAUAGUUGAGUAGGAAAUAUCACAGUGGAUCAAGACAGAGAUCACAAGCAGUCAGAGAGGCAGGCAGAGGGAGAGGAAGGGAAGCAUGCGCCCCGCUGAGCAGAGAGCCCGACGUGGGGCCUGAUCCCAGGACCCCGGGACCAUGACCCGAGCCGAAGGCAGAGGCUCCAACACACUGAGCCACCCAGGCGCCCCUAUCUAUCAUCUUUUAAGUAGGCUCCACACUCCGCAUGGAGCCUAACAUAGGACUUGAACUCACAGCCCUGAGAUCAAGACCUGAGCUGCGAUCAAGAGCCAGGAGUUGGACACUUUACCAACUGAGCCACCCAGGAGCCUUCAGUGGUGUACUUUAAGUGGGUGAAUUGUAGAUUAUGUAAAUUAUAUCUCUAGGUUUCCUAGCUCAGUUUUUUAUUAUCCUGACUGCCAGAAAUUCUUUUUUUUAUAUUCAGCCUCACUGUUUUUGCUCACUGUCAUCAAAACUCAUUCCUUCUUGUUUUGCUUUUGGUAAUGACAGAGAGAAGUAACAAAAAACAACAAAAAACCACUUCCUUAUCUUGAAUUAUAAUUCUAAUACACAAAGGUCAUUAUUAAAUUAUGUGUUUAGGGGAGCCAACUUCAGGGUUUUUAAUGUUUUCUCGUAGAAUCCAUUCUUACAGCGUUGACUGCCUUUGUGAUCUUGUUGCUCUUGCUGCUUCUUAACCUCUGUGCCUCAGGGCCUUCAUCUGUAAAGUGAGAACACUGGACUAGAUUCCAAAGACCACUUCCAGCUCCGAAGCUGUAUGCGUGCCAGUAUCCUUUGAGAAAGCACGGACAUAUAAGAUAAAGAUAUUUUCCUGAGCCAUUGCAGGCAUAACUAAUCAGCUAUUAAAAGAACCUGGAAAUGCAUUGAAAUAGCUACAUUUUGAAAUAAGUGAACACAGGAUGAACUGCAAAAGUUUAAGAGGUUGCACACCCAGCUUAGACCCCAAACUCAGGGUUUGAACUCACAACCGUGAGAUCGAGACCUGAACUGAGAUCAAGAGUUGGAGGUUUCACUAAUUGAGCUAUCUGGACGCUGCAAGAAUACCCAAUUUUCAACAGUGCUGCAAUAUUUCACUUGAUCGAGGCCAGGCCAGCUCUGGAGACAUACAGUGACGCGAGCUCAGAGUCGUCAGUGUGAUUUUGCUUCAAUCACUGAAUUCUGACAUAAUCCUGAAUUUGGAAAAAAAAAAUGCUGCCUCCAAUUUUAUCUUUGGAAACUGAAAUCUUUUGUAGGUCAUGGCCAGACUUCAGUAGUGUUGAGAGAAGAUGUAUUGAAAGUUAAACUGAGAAAGCCUUUUGGAGACGAAGCCUGUACUGUCUGGGACUCUAUCCUUCCCUAUUUACAAGCCAAGCAGUGACCUGUUGCUGUUUCAUGUCAAUACACACAGAUUGC